GAAGAAGAAGAGGAAGAAGAAGAAG
rnacentral:ncRNA from 2 species